UGGCAAAUUUAGACGUUCAUUAGUAUCUUCUUUCAUUGGGGGAAAAAAAAAACAUUGCUGUAAGCUUCAGUAAUGAAUAGACAAGCCAUAAUUUAUUAAGAGGCUACAGGAAGCCAUUUAACAUUUAAUAAUACUUAUUUAUAACACCAAGCAAAGCUUAUAAUGUUAUAGUUUUAUUGAGAAACAUCUUUAGGUGUCUUUUCCUUAAACUGGUUUAGCAAUAAGAGCUUUAUAACAUGUUUCAGCUAGGGAUUCACUGCAGGCCCGUAAAUUAUCUAAAUGUUCUUCUUUAGACCCUCUGACAGGUGAGGGAGGAACUGAGGUAGUUCUGUGUUAUGAGGAUGUUAUGAGGAGGGUGUGCUGAUAUGUUGCAGCAUUAUUGAGUCUUGCUCUUUAAUCAAGCAAAUGUAGUCACAGUCCUGUUUCCUUCAAAAGUGAGCGUAUUGUGAGUGAAUUACUCAGGGUGUUUUCCAAAGUACAACACCCAAGGAUUUGAGCCCUGUCUCUUUUUAGCCCAGACCUCAAACUACUGCUUUGUAAGGUCAUACCUUUCUUGGAAGAUAUUUUGGCAGUGAAACUAAAGAUUGGUUAGUUUGCAUAGAAAGUGUUUACACUGAUUCCCUCCAAGGAGUAGACAGUUUUAAAAUCUUAAAGAUAAAAAUACCUCUGGCUGAAAACUCGUUAAUUGUCAUCUGCAUGUUUUUUCUUUUAUAUCUUUAUGUAAUUCUUGCUGUAAUUAUGCAUUAAGGUAUUUGCUACUUGUUGGUUAAUGAAGCACUAAAAAUAUAACUAAAUAAAAUGUGCUAUGUAUUUUUCUGUUUCUUGCUUGGUUUGCUUCUAGUAUGAUUAUGUCUACUUUUUACUCAAGUACUUUUUGCACAGAUAAUACUAUCUUACUAACGUGUACCUGGGAUGAGUUAUGAGACUAUUUUGGUAAUUAUUUGAUUUUGUAAUAAUAACUUUUUGACAUAGAUUUAAUUUGAAGAAGUUACUUGAAAACUUCAGUAGAUGUGACAUCUAUUGUGAUAUACAAUUUUUCUCUGAGAAUAUAUCACAUUAAUAUAUAAUUGUCAAAGAUUUUAGAAGUCUUUCAAAAUACAUUUAUUAACAUUUUGAGAACACACCUUCUAAUGUAUUUCCAUAAAGCUGAAGAACUUUUAUUUACAGAAUGUGUAAGACUUGGUAAUUUACAAAUCAAUGUUACUCAGAUUUAUCAGCAAUUAAAAUAGCAAUUUAGUGUUCUUUUUUGUUUCUGGUUGUGCUUUAGAGGGGUUUCUGGACAUCUUUGUGUAUUUCCCUUAAAAAUUUGGAAUGUUUGUAUACUUAGUAUGUGUGCCAGUUUAAAGUAAAUAUAUGCAAGUUAUAAGCAAUAAUCUGCAUGUUAUACAGGGUUGGCAUUUCUUUGUCAUGGUAAUUUUAUUAUUUUAAGAAUGUAUAAAAUCAGUAUCCUUAUCAAUAUUUAUAUAUAAAUCACUUCUCUCCCCCAAUAAAAAACACUGGGAUUUUCUUGUGGUAGAACACUAAUAUAAUGUGGUGCAAAGCUUUGUAUUUUGUGAAAAAAAUAAAAUAAAAUCACAGUUAUUUAGUGG
rnacentral:lncRNA from 1 species